rnacentral:lncRNA from 1 species
GGAGCUAAUGUCGUAACGCGACAUCGGGCUUGAGCUAUGAAUGAGCCUAGUAAAGUAAUGCCAUAGAGAGGCAUUAGACUUGAAUGAUAUGUGAAUUGCAUGUGCAUGUUAAUAUUAUGAGAAUUAUGCUAAGUUGGUAGUUGCAUUGGAAAGUGUAUGCAUGUAGCAUUAUGAGAACUAUGCUAAGUUGAUAGUUGCAUACGGACACAUUGAAACCAUAUGCUAGUGGAUAGAUGCAUGUUAAUAUUUAUAUGCAUUGUGGAAUACAUGCUAGGUACAUAUUAGCAAUAUGAGAUCAUGCUAGAGAGCAUGCGUAUUAACCUAUUACUGAUAGGGUAAGC